rnacentral:rRNA from 1 species
UACAGAGGGUGCGAGCGUUGUCCGGAAUCACUGGGCGUAAAGGGCGCGUAGGUGGUGGCUUAAGCGUGCGGUGAAAGCUCGGGGCUCAACCCCGAGUCGGCCGUGCGAACUGGGCUCACUGGAGCAUAGUAGAGGCAGGUGGAAUUCCGGGUGUAGCGGUGGAAUGCGUAGAGAUCCGGAAGAACACCGGAGGCGAAGGCGGCUUGCUGGGCGUGAUCUGACGCUGAGGCGCGAAAGCGUGGGGAGCAAACAGG